GGCUUCGUAGCUCAGCUGGUACAGCGCUUGUCCCGUUGAGGCAUGGUGUUUCUGUCGUUGAUUCGAAUCUAGUCGAAGCCC